AGAGUUUGAUCAUGGCUCAGAUUGAACGCUGGCGGCAGGCCUAACACAUGCAAGUCGAGCGGUAGCACAGAGAGCUUGCUCUCGGGUGACGAGCGGCGGACGGGUGAGUAAUGUCUGGGAAACUGCCUGAUGGAGGGGGAUAACUACUGGAAACGGUAGCUAAUACCGCAUAAUGUCGCAAGACCAAAGUGGGGGACCUUCGGGCCUCAUGCCAUCAGAUGUGCCCAGAUGGGAUUAGCUAGUAGGUGGGGUAACGGCUCACCUAGGCGACGAUCCCUAGCUGGUCUGAGAGGAUGACCAGCCACACUGGAACUGAGACACGGUCCAGACUCCUACGGGAGGCAGCAGUGGGGAAUAUUGCACAAUGGGCGCAAGCCUGAUGCAGCCAUGCCGCGUGUGUGAAGAAGGCCUUCGGGUUGUAAAGCACUUUCAGCGGGGAGGAAGGCGGUAAGGUUAAUAACCUCAUCGAUUGACGUUACCCGCAGAAGAAGCACCGGCUAACUCCGUGCCAGCAGCCGCGGUAAUACGGAGGGUGCAAGCGUUAAUCGGAAUUACUGGGCGUAAAGCGCACGCAGGCGGUCUGUCAAGUCGGAUGUGAAAUCCCCGGGCUCAACCUGGGAACUGCAUUCGAAACUGGCAGGCUAGAGUCUUGUAGAGGGGGGUAGAAUUCCAGGUGUAGCGGUGAAAUGCGUAGAGAUCUGGAGGAAUACCGGUGGCGAAGGCGGCCCCCUGGACAAAGACUGACGCUCAGGUGCGAAAGCGUGGGGAGCAAACAGGAUUAGAUACCCUGGUAGUCCACGCCGUAAACGAUGUCGAUUUGGAGGUUGUGCCCUUGAGGCGUGGCUUCCGGAGCUAACGCGUUAAAUCGACCGCCUGGGGAGUACGGCCGCAAGGUUAAAACUCAAAUGAAUUGACGGGGGCCCGCACAAGCGGUGGAGCAUGUGGUUUAAUUCGAUGCAACGCGAAGAACCUUACCUGGUCUUGACAUCCACAGAACUU
rnacentral:rRNA from 1 species